rnacentral:rRNA from 1 species
CUUGGCUAUGUUUUCAUAUACACUAUAAAGUUACAGAAUGUCUUUUAACGAUUGUCGCUCGCGCGCAGUCAUUAAACCUAUACAACUUUCAGCAACGGAUCUCUUGGCUCUCCCAUCGAUGAAGAACGCAGCGAAAUGCGAUAAGUAAUGUGAAUUGCAGAAUUCAGUGAAUCAUCGAAUCUUUGAACGCACCUUGCGCCCUUUGGUAUUCCGAAGGGCAUGCCUGUUUGAGUGUCAUUAAAUUCUCAACCUUGCUCGCCUUUACCGGCUUGAGUGAGGCUUGGACGUGAGGGCUUUGCUGGCUUCCUUAAGUGGAUGGUCUGCUCCCUUUAAAUGCAUUAGUGGGAUCUCUUGUGGACCGUCACUUGGUGUGAUAAUUAUCUACGCCUCGUCGACUUUGAAGCAAACUUA